rnacentral:lncRNA from 1 species
AGAUUUUAGAUUUUCUUUUAGAUUCAUCUGAUGUAAACUUCCUGCAUGUACAGGAGAGAGAGAAACGCAGUUCUCCGAGAAAACGAACAAGAGUUCAUCCGUGACGAACGCUGCUGCAGAAGAGAUGCAGGGACUCUCUUAAAACAGAGCAGGAAUAAAGAAUGGGGGGGGGGAAAUUAGAACAACAUACUAGCCAGAAUAAGCUUAUUCUGAGCUCCAGUGUUGGAGAGGCCAGCUUGUAUUUUCUCAUGCUUUGAUUCUCCAAUCUGAUCCAUAGUGUGAGACUGAGGUGGUGAGUCAUUUCAGAGCAGAGUUUUUGCAAAAUCGGUUGUGCAUACAACUAAAUCAGCAUACUCCGAUGAACGCUGUCCUGCUGGAGACUCAUUGUAUCAAAGGCCUUCAAAGAAGCGGGAUACUCCACAACCUGGCCCGGCAGAACUCAUUAGCGGUGCAAAACAUCCCUGUGCAGAGGGGGCUGAAAGUGAUGAAUGGCCGAAUUUGAAGAUGUAUGGGAGUGGUUCUUGAGCAGUGCCCAGGCCUUGUGCUGGCCCUCUGAACAGGAAUGAGUUUUACGGGUCAAGCACCUUGAUUGCACAGUUCACUACCAAUCAGCGGGCAUGUUUGUGUGCCCCUCUCUUAGCCUCUGAACAGCCCCCUCUCUUAAAACCUAGUUUGCUAGAAAGCUGACUGACCACUAGAUGCCACUGUCGUCUCAUACACACUAUGCUGUGCUGGUGGAAUCCGAAGGCAAUAGAAUUGUUCAGACCCCUUGUUGCACGCACAGGCUCUCCUUCAGUGUGCUCGAGCUGGCUUUCUGUUACCGACUGAUUUCAUUUUUAACAUUUUCUCUCCGCUGGCAGUUUCUAGAUGGGCUCACCCUAUGCCCCUUCCCUUGCAAAGGACAGCAAGGCCCCGUUGCUACAGCUCCAUCCUAAAUACAUUUCCUCGUCAGUGAUACAUGAACAAAUUCUGGGGGUUGUAGCUUGCUCCCUUUCCUAAUUUUAGGGAGAGAUUGGCUUUUUUUUCUUGUUUUACCCUCUUACCACCAAUCCUUCUUUCUCAUCAUUUGGGCUGUUUUUAAAUACUGUGUCUCUGGGUGUAUUUGGCCCUUGAAUAGGAAAAUAACAUCUCACGUUGGCUUUGAAUCCAGCCGCUACUUAAACAGGAGGGAAAAAAAUUGUUUUCCCCACCCCUUCACAUAAAUAAUGAUAGGUUCCAAUUGGGUCAUUUUUUCUUUUUCCAAGCAGCACUUGUAAGAAGUAGACACAAUCUCCACACUCUGGUACAGCAACCUGGGUUGGGUUUUCAGUUGGUAUAAAUCGGUGGAACUCCACCGAGUUCCUCUGAUUUAUACCAGCUGACAAGCAGGCCAUCAGUCUAUUACCAACCCCUCUCCGCCCGGUAACUUGUGCUAUCUUGAGCACUAAAUCAGACCUGGCCAAAGUCUGUGGCUGUUGUUGAACAACUGAGUUGGUUUGACAAUGUGGAAGCUGUGCAUUGUCUCAAAGUGAGUAUGAUGGAGACAUUAGGGUGUAUUCCUUUGCAAAUUUAAUGUUAGACCUCACCCCUGCUCCAUUUAGACCAACGAAUUGAGAAAGAAAGGAGCUGGAGUAUGUGUGGUGAAGUGGGGAAAGAAUCUUUGUCACAAUAUGAAAUGGGAGCUCAGCUGCUACAAAGUAGUUCAGAGUAUUUUUACUGACAGCGUAGCUUGAACGUGCACAUGUGAAUCACAAGUUCAAGAAUGUGAAAAGGCUUAUUUUGUUUUCUCUAGAUCACGUGCUGCAAUUCAUUGGCUUGCUGCUGUAAUACAAAAUAGCCAGAAGGUGGCAGUAUAGGUGUUCUCUUAAAGGGAAUAAAACGGUGGGGGGUGGGGGAGCA